CAAGACGUAGCUACAACACAAAGCAUUCAGCUUACACCUGAAAGAUAUCUGCUACCUACCAGAUCGUCUUGA
rnacentral:tRNA from 1 species